GUGGGGAAUAUUGGGCAAUGGGGGAAACCCUGACCCAGCGACGCCGCGUGAGGGAAGACGGCCUUCGGGUUGUAAACCUCUUUUGUACGGGAAGAAGGAAGUGACGGUACUGUACGAAUAAGUCCCGGCUAACUACGUGCCAGCAGCCGCGGUAAUACGUAGGGGACGAGCGUUGUCCGGAAUUACUGGGCGUAAAGGGCGCGCAGGCUGUGCUGCAAGUCAGCUGUGAAAUGUCUGGGCUUAACCCGGGCAUGCGGUUGAGACUGCAGUGCUGGAGUGCUGUAGAGGCAAGUGGAAUUCCCAGUGUAGCGGUGAAAUGCGUAGAUAUUGGGAAGAACACCGGUGGCGAAGGCGACUUGCUGGCCAGCAACUGACGCUGAGGCGCGAAAGCCAGGGGAGCAAACGGGAUUAGAUACCCUUGUAGUCC
rnacentral:rRNA from 1 species